rnacentral:lncRNA from 1 species
GCUCAUUUGACAGGGGAGUUCUAAGGAGGGUGUGCCCAGGCAACCAAAGAGUCUGGAAGAGUUAUCAGAGCCUGGGAGAGCUGUCACCAGGAACCAGAGCCAAUUGCAGCAGCAGCCAAAUCUAGUAAGACACUAGUACAAUAACUUGCUUGGCUUGUCCCAGCACUGGACUGACCCAUUAGUAGAGGCACCAGGCACCAUGGAGCCAGCCCAACUGAUCAAGGAGCAACCAUCUUUCCCAGACACCUGGCCCUGAAGCAAACUUGGACAGCACACUGGAUGGGGCUCAUGAGCAACAGCAUUAGAAGGCAUGACCCCUGAAGGGCUACCCUUACGGCUUUGAAGAGGGGGUCCUCUGCUAUCUUCUGGAGGCACGAACCAUUGGCGUGAGUGGGAGCUGAGCGAGUGAACCCUAAAAGGAUGCUUCGCCAAAAAUCUGGGGCUUGUGUUGUACAUUGAAGAGAUCCUCAACUGGAGUCAAAAGAUCUGGAUCUGAGCUUGGAAUCUGCCUCUAAUGACGUGGGUAUUGUUAUUAUGGGAUGUUAGGAAGGGAAAACACAUAAGGAUUAGCAUAUAAAUAGUUUGUAUUUAUUUGAGAUUGGGGAGCGGGUUUGGGGGAAGGAGAGUGAGGGAGAAGGUGAUCUCAUCUUUAAACCCUUCAUUUUAACUCCUAUUAAUAAUUCUGUCUAACGACACUAAGAUCCUAGAGGCAAAGCAAACAGGGAAGCUGGAUCUUACAAUAAGGUCUCUGGGAGCC